rnacentral:rRNA from 1 species
UGGAGAGUUUGAUCCUGGCUCAGGACGAACGCUGGCGGCGUGCUUAACACAUGCAAGUCGAGCGGUAAGGCCCUUCGGGGUACACGAGCGGCGAACGGGUGAGUAACACGUGGGUGAUCUGCCUUGCACUCUGGGAUAAGCCUGGGAAACUGGGUCUAAUACCGGAUAUGAGCCUGAACUGCAUGGUUCGGGUUGGAAAGAUUUAUCGGUGCGAGAUGGGCCCGCGGCCUAUCAGCUUGUUGGUGAGGUAACGGCUCACCAAGGCGACGACGGGUAGCCGGCCUGAGAGGGCGACCGGCCACACUGGGACUGAGACACGGCCCAGACUCCUACGGGAGGCAGCAGUGGGGAAUAUUGCACAAUGGGCGAAAGCCUGAUGCAGCGACGCCGCGUGAGGGAUGACGGCCUUCGGGUUGUAAACCUCUUUCGACAGGGACGAAGCGCAAGUGACGGUACCUGUAGAAGAAGCACCGGCUAACUACGUGCCAGCAGCCGCGGUAAUACGUAGGGUGCGAGCGUUGUCCGGAAUUACUGGGCGUAAAGAGCUUGUAGGCGGUCUGUCACGUCGGUCGUGAAAACUCACAGCUCAACUGUGGGCCUGCGGUCGAUACGGGCAGACUAGAGUACUUCAGGGGAGACUGGAAUUCCUGGUGUAGCGGUGAAAUGCGCAGAUAUCAGGAGGAACACCGGUGGCGAAGGCGGGUCUCUGGGAAGUAACUGACGCUGAGAAGCGAAAGCGUGGGUAGCGAACAGGAUUAGAUACCCUGGUAGUCCACGCCGUAAACGGUGGGUACUAGGUGUGGGUUUCCUUCCACGGGAUCCGUGCCGUAGCUAACGCAUUAAGUACCCCGCCUGGGGAGUACGGCCGCAAGGCUAAAACUCAAAGGAAUUGACGGGGGCCCGCACAAGCGGCGGAGCAUGUGGAUUAAUUCGAUGCAACGCGAAGAACCUUACCUGGGUUUGACAUACACCGGAAAGCCGUAGAGAUACGGCCCCCCCUUGUGGUCGGUGUACAGGUGGUGCAUGGCUG